UACGUAGGGGGCAAGCGUUGUCCGGAAUCAUUGGGCGUAAAGAGCGCGUAGGCGGCCCUGUAAGUCCGCUGUGAAAGUCAAGGGCUCAACCCUGGAAGGCCGGUGGAAACUGUCGGGCUAGAGUCCGGAAGAGGCGAGUGGAAUUCCCGGUGUAGCGGUGAAAUGCGCAGAUAUCGGGAGGAACACCAAUGGCGAAGGCAGCUCGCUGGACGGUACUGACGCUGAGACGCGAAGCGUGGGAGCAACAGG
rnacentral:rRNA from 1 species